rnacentral:sRNA from 1 species
AUUUCCCUCACAUUCCCUGACACAGCACAACGCACUCACAUGCUCUCAUUUCCUUUCUCUUUUCUUUCCCAGCACAAGCACCACGCAUACAACCUUCUUUUUUCGUAGCACAAUUUCUCCUUCUCUUUGGUCUCUUUCCCAAUCACACAUAGGCACAUCGAGACACUCACACAUAGGCACAUCGAGACACACAGGAGCUUCCUCUUCUUCCUCCAUUUUUUUGCUGCUCAAAGAUUG